AUGAACGCUGGCGGCGUGCCUAAUACAUGCAAGUCGAGCGAACAGACGAGGAGCUUGCUCCUCUGACGUUAGCGGCGGACGGGUGAGUAACACGUGGAUAACCUACCUAUAAGACUGGGAUAACUUCGGGAAACCGGAGCUAAUACCGGAUAAUAUAUUGAACCGCAUGGUUCAAUAGUGAAAGACGGUUUUGCUGUCACUUAUAGAUGGAUCCGCGCCGCAUUAGCUAGUUGGUAAGGUAACGGCUUACCAAGGCAACGAUGCGUAGCCGACCUGAGAGGGUGAUCGGCCACACUGGAACUGAGACACGGUCCAGACUCCUACGGGAGGCAGCAGUAGGGAAUCUUCCGCAAUGGGCGAAAGCUUGACGGAGCAACGCCGCGUGAGUGAUGAAGGUCUUCGGAUCGUAAAACGCUGUUAUUAGGGAAGAACAAAUGUGUAAGUAACUAUGCACGUCUUGACGGUACCUAAUCAGAAAGCCACGGCUAACUACGU
rnacentral:rRNA from 1 species